rnacentral:rRNA from 1 species
UACGUAGGGUGCGAGCGUUGUCCGGAAUCAUUGGGCGUAAAGAGCGUGUAGGCGGCCCGAUAAGUCCGCCGUGAAAGUCCAGGGCUCAACCCUGGAAUGCCGGUGGAAACUGUCGGGCUGGAGUCCGGAAGAGGCGAGUGGAAUUCCUGGUGUAGCGGUGAAAUGCGCAGAUAUCAGGAGGAACACCAAUGGCGAAGGCAGCUCGCUGGGACGGUACUGACGCUGAGACGCGAAAAGCGUGGGGGAGCAAACAGG